GCAGCUGCAGGGCGGGAAGGGGCGGGGCCACCGGUCGGCCGUCCCUCCCUCCCGCCCGCCCCCAGCCCUUGCUGCGGAGAUGGGUCCGGGGGGCGAGCGGCCGGGCCCGGCCUGGCCUUGCUCUUCAGGGACGGGCGGGGCUGCGUGAGCGCAGCGGGUCUAGGCGCUGCGACCAGGGCGGGUUUGGCGACACGAGCAGCAAGGGACGGUAUUAUGGGGCGGGGGGGCAUCCUUUUUUGGCAACGGGCAACCAAUUAGCCUAAUUUGACCCUCCCCCUGUGCCGUCUCCUUCCCCUGCUCCUUGCCUCUUCCCUUCGCCACUUGUGGCCAGAGGCGGAUUAAGGUGGCCUGGGGCCCUGGGCAACCACAACAUUAGAGGCCCCCUCCGGCCAUGGGAGCUGGGGUGGGGGAGCCCCCUUCCCCUCCCCCUCCUGGUGCUGGCAGGGGAGGCUGGGUGGACUGUGCUGGGCUGGGGGUGACGGGGCACAUGCCCCACUCUUCUCCCUGCCCCCGCCCCCCAUGGCCAAACAUGCAGGCUGGCGCUCCACUCUCACUCACUCUGCCCAUGGACACAGACAAACGCACUCUUCCUGCCAUGGACGCAGGCACACACUCCAGUCGCUCUACACACACACACACACACACACACACACACACUCCCUGCAAUAAAUAAGAUACAUGCAUGCAUACACACAGAUGCACAGUUGUGCACAUACACAAACAUGCAUGCACACACAGACACACACCCAGCAACACAUUUCCCCCCACAGGAACUUCCCCACUCUCAAUCACUCUGAGGCAGCCCCCUCCACUCCCCUGACGUGAGCCACCCGUGCCCCAUUGCACUGAGAGGCAGGGAACUGGUGCUCGACUGUGGCCGUGCUGCCACGCAUAUAUGCACGGGGUCAGCUCAGCUCAGGCCGGGAGCGCUGCGCCUCUGCAGGCAGGUGGCAGUGCUGGGAGAGGUGGCUACAAGGAGCUAAGGUGAAUUUUGGGGGUCUAUAGCCCCCCCAAGGCCCUCCCAGCGCCGCCACCAGCCUGCAGAGGUGUGAUGCUGCAUGGCAAUCCCAGCCUCCUCCCUUCCCCCCCCCCCAACGUUCCCAGUUUAAAAGCCCACUUUCACUUCCCUGCUGAGGAUCCCAGGGCCUGAAGUUGGUAGGGGCCCCUGUGCUCAUGCCCAGCUGGCCCAUCCAUUAAUCUGCCUAUACUUGUGGCGUUCACGCUGCCAGGUGGCUGAUGGUAGGAAGAGUAUUUAACCAAAGUAAUAAUAGUAUAUAUAUAUGUAUAUUGGUUGCUCUGAACGUCUGUUGUUUAUUCCAUAUUUCUUCAGCUCUUUCAUUGUGGGGCAGUAAUGGAGGUGAGGCACACAAGAAGCUUUCCAGUGUGACCAGCUGCCUUGGCUGCACCGUAAAAUAUAAAAUGAAUACUGUAAAAUCCUACAACCAUAGAAACACGAGUAUAAGACAAAAUAUUUGAAUGAGUAUCGCAUUUACUGGUCAGACUUGGCCACUUAAAUGAGAAGCAGUCCCUUUUACCUUAUUGGCAAAGCUCCCCUUCUGUUCUCUGCAGCCCUUGUUAUGGUCACGUACAUAUUCUGUGCUGUUGUGCUGUCAGGAGGGGUGCCUGGGAUGUAUCUUCCACCUAGACAGCUCGCUUCUAUAAGUCCAGAAAAAUAACUUCUUCCGUAGUUAGGUUUAUGAUUUGUACCUCAUUGUAUUGGAUAUGUGGUAUGGGCUUCAUAUCCAGGUACCACUCAAGUACUGAUCCAAAUAAUUUUGAUUACAUUAAAUAAAAUACUAAGACUAAGGGAUUGGCAGUCGAGUUUUUAAAAAAUGCAGCUGAUGACAGUGGACUGUUUUAGGUUGCUAAACUUGAGCAUCCUGAAACUGAUUGGAAACUGUCACUCCUAGUGAAGGCAGAGUUGUUGGUGUUCAGUCUUUGAACCAGAUAAAAAGUGUUUUAGGAUAAGGCCAAAAAGUAAGCAACUUCCUAAAAUUCUGGUCUAAAGUGAUUUCCAGAGGCCUGGCAGAAAGCCUAUGGAAGAGGUAGGAACCAAAUCUGCAUCUAAUGAGUUCAAGGUCAGUGCUGUACCCAAAAACUGAAGUGCCUGGGAAGACAAAGGGCAUGAGAAUAAGAGAAAAAGAGACUUGCUUGGUUAAGGAUAAGACAGUACAAAUCUAGGCUGGAGGAAGUCUGCAGGACUACUGAUGAUAUUUCAAAUAGUUCGGUUUAGUUGUGAAAGCAGAUGUCUUACACCAGGGCUGUCCAAUUGGUGGCCUGUGGGCCACAUAGAGCCUGCAAGGGGUUACAUUGUGGGCCUGGCCUCCUGCAGUUCUUCCCAUGGCUCCAGCUGCAACAGCAGCCAGUCUUCAGGCUUCUCCUACUUCCUCUGGCUUUUGCUGCCUGCCCCUGCCCCCGGGUGAGGCAGCGCAGUACGGCAUGGCCUGGGGAGCUGAGCGUGAGCCUAGUGCAGUGCACAUUAUGUGGAGGGGGUGUGCAUGGUGCAGUGAGGAGGGAAGUGCAGUGCAGUGCAGUGCAGUGAGUAGGGGAGGGCCUGCUUGCACAGUCCAGCAGUGGGGGGAAGCAUUUGCAUACGCAUGCACUACAACAGCAGCAGGAGGGUGCAGGUGCAGCAAGCAGGGGAGCUCCUGCAUGGAGCAGUAAGGGGGUCUGGCUCUCUCCGGUGUGGCCCACAUUUAUGUGGCCCCUGCUGGUCUGGCCUGCAAAGUAUGUGUCCCCUGGCCCCUCACAACUUGGACAGCACUGUCUUAUACAUCUCAGUGGCCUAUGUGAAAUGAAUCCAUUAGCGGCCUCAAUCUAAUUCCGGAUAGGUGUGCCUACAACACAAAAAUAUCACCACCAAUGUUUAGCAUACUAGGAAGACGAGUGACUGGACCCACCAAGAAAACUUUCUCCAUUAGAACAAGGGUAAGACCCACUGGCAGAACACUGCGGUAAGACAUGGUGUGAUAUAAUGCACUGAGAACAGGACACUGGAUUUAUAUUCUGGGUUUUGUCAGACCAAAGGUAUGUAAUACUGAGCAUCUUUGGCUCAAUUUCUUCAUUUAAAUAGUGGGCUAAUAUUUGCAUGCUGCGCAGGGUCUGCAAGGAUUAGUUGAUAUUUGUCUGUUAAAUGUGAAUAGGUCAAAUCCAGAAGAGAUCCUGUGGUUCAGGCUGCCUGUGGUAUACCUGUUCUGUUCUUAGGUUUCAGUCUCCAGGCCCAUCCACAUUGCUAACUCAGAAUUCAGAUAGGCUGGAAACAUUGAAUUCAUCAAAAAUUUAGAGUUUUACAUUUUCUGCUUAGCUAUUGUAGUAGCCUUUAAAGAAAUCUUUGCUCUUCCCCAAGUUCCCUAAAUUGUGAUUUCCAACCUGUAGGAGGACUGCAUUAUAUUGGUCACCUCAGCAAACUGUUGUAUAACUAGAUGAAUGAAUGUGUGAAUUUGACAGAGCUACAGCCAUCUUAGAAAGCACAGCACACGUAAAGGGAUAUCUUUAAUGUUAACUAAUGUGUAUGUUGUUAAUGUAAGGUUUGUAUGAAACAGGCUCAUAAGGGACAGAUGUUCUAUGACAUUUUGCUUGGCACGUUUGAACAUCUUUUGAAGGAGUCAGAAAAAUGUGACGACUAGAGCUCAUUCUGUUUUAGCCAUUUUAUGCUUUCUUAGGACUGCAGGUUGAUAACACAGAAUACAGACAUUGCUAAUUGGCUAUUUGCCAAGCUGCAGUUAUAGCACUUCUGGGCUUCAAUCCAAUUUCAAACAAAAUACAUUUCACACUGAAAACAGGAAAGAGAAUUAGAAACACGCUGUAACUGAACCUAACAUUUUUUAAAGAUACAUGAGGAAGUGUGAGACAAGAAGGGGAGAAGAGGGAACACCAGAAUUAGAAUAGUGAAAAGGAUGGGAUUAGGCUUUCCUUUAAGUGUGCCAUCAGAAGCCUCAGCUAUAUAUAUGCCUUGACCCAACAAUGGUAUGUAGCUGGAGAUAUAAUUAAAAGGAAAAUUAAAAUAAGAUUAAGGAGCAGAAGGGCACCAAGAGAAAUAUUUAUUAACGUAACUUGUUAUCCAUUUAGCCAUUAAAAAAAAUCAGUAUUGCAAAAGGAUUAGUAUGUUAUUAGUUUAUCCAUUAUGGAGCUUGGCCCUAGAAACAUUAGCACUGAUCACAAUACUCACCCAAAACUGUAUUCUUAUAAACAGAAUAACAGUAAAAAUAUUUAUGUGUCACAUCAGUAGAAGUUUAUUAACUCAGUGGAGCUCACCAAUGAUGUGAAGCCACUGUAUAUACAGGAGUCAAAAUAUUUUGAACUGCGCUGAAGCAAUUUGGGAUUUUUAUGCUACCUCAUUAUAACCAAAAUGUAUCUAUAACUUAAAUGAGUACGAGUCAAUUUAACUAUAGAUGACCCAUAUCACUAUAAAAUGAUGGUAUCUGAAGCAUGUUAGCAUACAAUACUUGACUAUAAAAAGUUGGUCUGAUCCAGGAUAUGUACUAAGUGCUAGUGUUUCUUUCCUGUUUUUCAUCUGACAGAAGGUGUUUGGUAUCUGGAUAUAACCUAGUCAGUAAAUUAUCAUCAGAAUGGAUUGACGUGUGUGAUUAUGUUCAACACACACAGGUCUUGUCUUCAUUAGGAAUUAAAGGACCAAUAUGCAUGAACUCAAAAGCGUGUCCUAUCAAGUCUAUUCUUACUGAAGACUACUUGCUGAAAUGAACCAGGUAACACGUCACCCGGACAGGGGAGGAGAGGCUGAUAUCAUUUACUUGGAUUUCAAAAAAGCCUUUGACUUGGUCUCCCAAGAUGUCCUCAUGGUAAAAUUGGGGAGCUGCAGCCUCGACAACCUUACAGUCUGAUGGCUGGGAAACUGGCUCCGUGGUCAGACCCAGAGCGUGUUUGUCGAUGGAACCGAGUCAACAUGGCGCAUGGUGACCAGUGGUAUCCCCUAGGGUUCAGUUUUCAGACCAUUACUCAUUAAUAUAUUCAUAAGUUCAAGAAGUGUUUGGAUGAUUAUUUUGCUGGGGUCAUCUGACCUCAGUUGAUUUCCUGCCCUUUGGGCAGGGGGCUGGACCCAAUGAUCUUGCAAGGUCCCUUCCAGUCCUAAUGUCUAUGAAAUCUAUGAAGUCUUACUCUUGUAUAUUGUUGGGGGGUAUAGGUUUGCAGGGGGCUGUGGGUGUGUCUGGGAGUUGAUAGGUGUGGGCUGUGUGGGGUGAGGGAGCAAGGGGGUGUGGACAUGUGGGGUGUGCGAGAGGGUGUGGGGUUCUGCAGGUAUGGCAGUGCGAAGAGAGGUGUGGGGUGUGCAUGUGGGACUCACUCUAUGAAUACACAUGCACACUCCCAUACUGUGCAGCCCUGUGCUCCCCAGUCCAGCGAUGCAGCCAGGAGCCACAUGGUGCUGGAGCAGGGUGGGGGCAGGAAGCAAGGAAAUAGCUGGGGGUGGGGAGGGGCUGGGCUGCUGCAUCAUGCUGAUGGCUUCCUCUGGGUCUUACUGCCCCUGGCUACUGUCAUCUUUGACAGGCAGCCAGGGGCAGAUAAAUAUUAAUUUUCUAAAUUUUUUAGAGUCCCUGCGGGCUGGAUAGAAUGGCCUGGCAGGCCAAAUCCAGCCCACAGGACAUAUUUUGCCCACCCCUGUGUUACAUGCUUUACAAGAGACAAAAAAAGAGAAAUAUAACCUUAGAAAAAGCCAGCAUGGAAGUAAUCUAUUUUUUAUGUUAAUUUACUGUAACUAAAGCAGAUAUAAAAAUAAGUCAACAAAGAACAAACUUUUACUAGAACACAUCCUUUCUCCUAAUCAAUUUCGUACCUUUUACUUUAGGUCAACUUCCCAUUAAUAACUUCACUGAAAUAUUCAUUUCACUUCACUGAAGCACCCACUGUCAGUACUCUUUAAUGGCUAAAACUUGCUGAUAUACUGGGUGACUUCAUGCAAUAUGUGAGUAAAAGUCUCACUGAGGUCAAGUUAGUUGUUCCAAUAAGCAUGGUACUCAGUGUUGAAGUAUGAUAUUGUGAAGCUGUUAGCACCCACAGUUCCUACCAAAAUCUUCCACCUGAGUAAUUUAAAGCAAUAGUUUUCAAAAUAUGUUCGGUGGAACCCUGGGGUUCCAUGAUAGGUCAUCAGCAGGGAUCCUGGUUUUCUCUGUUUAAAAAUCCCAAAUUCCCUGAUUAAAAAAACCCAAUUCUGUAUUUUUCUGUGAUUAAAAUGAAAUUCCGCUAUAUAUAUAGAUAUCAUUUGAACACAACGUUCUAUUGAUAUAUUUACAAUUUUAAAGCAUUUUGAAACCCUACCAAGUGCCUCAAUCAUUAUAAUAAAAUAAAUUUUAAAUACCUAAUCAUUUUUUAGUUUGAUUUGUUUUAUCAUGGAAUAUCAGAGCUCCCCCUGCUUCCUUUGCUCACCAGGACCGGGUCCAGCUGCAGCUGUCCCCACUCGCUGCUUUGUAGCACUGAGCAGCCCUGAUACACCAGUGUCCUGCCCCUGCCUUUGCCCCUCACUCCUGACCCAUAGGCCCCUGGCCCUGCUGGUGCCCCUCACUCCCGACCGGCUGCCCUCUGCCCCCCUGUAUGUGAGGAAGGAAGUGGGUGUGUGGGGAAGGGGGGGUGCAAGUAUAGGUGACACAUGGGAGGGAAGGCACAGGUGAUACGGAAGGGCAACACAUACCCCUCCAGAUUUGUGCGCCCCCAGCCGGGCAUGGGGCUACAGC